GAUGAACGCUGGCGGUAUGCUUAACACAUGCAAGUCGAACGGACUCUUCGGAGUUAGUGGCGGACGGGUGAGUAACGCGUGGGAAUCUGGCUUUGGGUUCGGGACAACCACUGGAAACGGUGGCUAAUACCGGAUGUGCCGAGAGGUAAAAGAGAAAUUGCCUGAAGAUGAGCUCGCGUCUGAUUAGCUAGUUGGUGAGGUAAAGGCUCACCCAGGCAGCGAUAAGUAGCUUGUCUGAGCGGAUGACCAGCCACACUGGGAAUGAGACACAGCCCAGACUACUCCUGGAGGAAGGAGGAGAGAAUGUUGGAGCAACGGCGCAAGAGUGACGAAGGUCUUCCGCUCGAGGGACGCUGUUAUUUGGGAUGUAAACCUGUGUACGUAACGGAGCACAACAUGACGGUACCUAAGCAGACAGCAUCGGCUAACUACGUG
rnacentral:rRNA from 1 species